AGUGAACGCUGGCGGUAGGCCUAACACAUGCAAGUCGAACGGCAGCACAGGAGAGCUUGCUCUCUGGGUGGCGAGUGGCGGACGGGUGAGGAAUACAUCGGAAUCUACUCUGUCGUGGGGGAUAACGUAGGGAAACUUACGCUAAUACCGCAUACGACCUACGGGUGAAAGCAGGGGACCUUCGGGCCUUGCGCGAUUGAAUGAGCCGAUGUCGGAUUAGCUAGUUGGCGGGGUAAAGGCCCACCAAGGCGACGAUCCGUAGCUGGUCUGAGAGGAUGAUCAGCCACGCUGGAACUGAGACACGGUCCAGACGCCGACGGGAGGCAGCAGUGGGGAAUAGUGGACAAUGGGCGCAAGCCUGAGCCAGCCAUACCGCGUGGGUGAAGAAGGCCUUCGGGUUGUAAAGCCCUUUUGUUGGGAAAGAAAUCCAGCUGGCUAAUACCCGGUUGGGAUGACGGUACCCAAAGAAUAAGCACCGGCUAACUUCGUGCCAGCCGCCGCCGUAA
rnacentral:rRNA from 1 species